GGCCGCGGGCGGCCAGGAGUCCGGCCGCCGCGGCUUCCAGCGCCUCGGGCCAGCUCGCCGGUUCCAGCUCGCCCUCGGCGU
rnacentral:tRNA from 1 species